CCUACGGGAGGCAGCAGUGGGGAAUUUUACGCAAUGGGGGAAACCCUGACGUAGCGACACCGCGUGAGCGAAGAAGCCCUCUGGGGUGUAAAGCUCUGUCAGCAGGGACGAAAAAAAUGACGGUACCUGCAGAGGAAGCAUCGGCUAACUACGUGCCAGCAGCCGCGGCAAGACGUAGGAUGCAAGCGUUGUCCGGAUUCAUUGGGCGUAAAGAGUUCGUAGGCGGUUUGUUAAGUCUGAUGUUAAAGAUCAGGGCCCAACCCUGAGAGUGCAUUGGAUACUGGCAGACUGGAGUGCAGUAGAGGCAAGUGGAAUUCCCAGUGUAGCGGUGAAAUGCGUAGAUAUUGGGAAGAACACCGGUGGCGCAGGCGACUUGCUGGGCUGUAACUGACGCUGAGUAACGAAAGCUAGGGGAGCAAAUGGGAUUAGAUACCCCAGUAGUCCUAGCUGUAAACGAUGGAUACUAGGCGUUGCAGGUAUCGACCCCUGCAGUGCCGCAGUUAACGCGAUAAGUAUCCCGCCUGAGUAGUACGGCCGCAAGGUUGAAACUCAAAGGAAUUGACGG
rnacentral:rRNA from 1 species